rnacentral:rRNA from 1 species
UACCAGCUCUCCGAGUGGUAGGGAUGAUUAUUGGGCUUAAAGCGUCCGUAGCCGGCUUAGCAAGUCUCCUGUUAAAUUCAGCGACCUAAUCGUUGAGCCGCGGGAGAUACUACUAGGCUAGGAGGCGGGAGAGGUCAACGGUACUUCCGGGGUAGGGGUGAAAUCCUAUAAUCCCGGGAGGACACCAGUGGCGAAGGCUGUUGUACUAGAACGCGCUCGACGGUGAGGGACGAAAGCUGGGGGAGCGAACCGGAUUAGAUACCCGGGUAGUCCCAGCUGUAAACGAUGCGAGCUAGGUGUUGGGGUGGCUACGUGCCACGUUCAGUGCCGCAGGGAAGCCAUUAAGCUCGCCGCCUGGGGAGUACGGCCGCAAGGCUGAAACUUAAAGGAGUUGGCGGGGAGCAACCACAAGGCGUGAAGCUUGCGGUUC